UGGGGAAUAUUGGACAAUGGGCGCAAGCCUGAUCCAGCCAUGCCGCGUGAGUGAUGAAGGCCCUAGGGUUGUAAAACUCUUUCACCGGUGAAGAUAAUGACGGUAACCGGAGAAGAAGCCCCGGCUAACUUCGUGCCAGCAGCCGCGGUAAUACGAAGGGGGCUAGCGUUGUUCGGAAUCACUGGGCGUAAAGCGCACGUAGGCGGACUUUUAAGUCAGGGGUGAAAUCCCGGGGCUCAACCCCGGAACUGCCUUUGAUACUGGAAGUCUUGAGUUCGGGAGAGGUGAGUGGAAUUCCGAGUGUAGAGGUGAAAUUCGUAGAUAUUCGGAAGAACACCAGUGGCGAAGGCGACUCACUGGCCCGAUACUGACGCUGAGGUGCGAAAGCGUGGGGAGCAAACAGGAUUAGAUACCCCCGUAGUCC
rnacentral:rRNA from 1 species